rnacentral:tRNA from 1 species
UGGUUCAAGUCCCUCUAUCCCCAACGAGACACUUCAAUUGAAUCAUUUCAGGUUGUUUGGGUUCAUA